rnacentral:rRNA from 1 species
UAGUGGUUUGAGUUACUCCUCUGCUCAGGAUGAACGCUGGCGGCGUGCUAAUACAUGCAAGUCGAGCGAACAGACGAGGAGCUUGCUCCUCUGACGUUAGCGGCGGACGGGUGAGUAACACGUGGAUAACCUACCUAUAAGACUGGGAUAACUUCGGGAAACCGGAGCUAAUACCGGAUAAUAUAUUGAACCGCAUGGUUCAAUAGUGAAAGACGGUUUUGCUGUCACUUAUAGAUGGAUCCGCGCCGCAUUAGCUAGUUGGUAAGGUAACGGCUUACCAAGGCAACGAUGCGUAGCCGACCUGAGAGGGUGAUCGGCCACACUGGAACUGAGACACGGUCCAGACUCCUACGGGAGGCAGCAGUAGGGAAUCUUCCGCAAUGGGCGAAAGCCUGACGGAGCAACGCCGCGUGAGUGAUGAAGGUCUUCGGAUCGUAAAACUCUGUUAUUAGGGAAGAACAAAUGUGUAAGUAACUAUGCACGUCUUGACGGUACCUAAUCAGAAAGCCACGGCUAACUACGUGCCAGCAGCCGCGGUAAUACGUAGGUGGCAAGCGUUAUCCGGAAUUAUUGGGCGUAAAGCGCGCGUAGGCGGUUUUUUAAGUCUGAUGUGAAAGCCCACGGCUCAACCGUGGAGGGUCAUUGGAAACUGGAAAACUUGAGUGCAGAAGAGGAAAGUGGAAUUCCAUGUGUAGCGGUGAAAUGCGCAGAGAUAUGGAGGAACACCAGUGGCGAAGGCGACUUUCUGGUCUGUAACUGACGCUGAGGCCAAAUAUUCUAAC